rnacentral:rRNA from 1 species
AGAGUUUGAUCAUGGCUCAGGACAAACGCUGGCGGCGUGCGUAACACAUGCAAGUCGGACGGGCGGCUGUUUUCGGACAGUUUGCCAGUGGCGGACGGGUGAGUAACACGUGAAUGACCUGCCUUGCGAUGGGGGAUAGCUCUCAGAAAUGGGGGAUAAUACCGCAUACGACGGUAGCCGUAGGGGUUAUCGGGAAAGCCGGAAGGCGUCGCAAGAGGGGUUCGCGGCCGAUUAGCUAGUUGGAGGGGUAACGGCCCACCAAGGCGACGAUCGGUAGCUGGUCUGAGAGGAUGAUCAGCCACACUGGGAUUGAGAACGGCCCAGACUCCUACGGGGGGCAGCAGUGAGGAAUCUUCGGCAAUGGGCGCAAGCCUGACCGAGCAACGCCGCGUGCGGGACGAAGGCCUUCGGGUCGUAAACCGCUUUUCCCAGGGGAGAGAACGGACGGUACCUGGGGAAGAAGCCUCGGCUAACUACGUGCCAGCAGCCGCGGUAAUACGUAGGAGGCGAGCGUUGUCCGGAGUUACUGGGCGUAAAGGGUGCGCAGGCGGCCUACCGCGUGGGGGGUGAAAUCGCCCGGCUCAACCGGGCGGGUGCUUUCCAGACGGGUAGGCUUGAGGGACGGAGAGGGGCGCGGAAUUCCGGGUGGAGCGGUGAAAUGCGUAGAGAUCCGGAAGAACACCGACGGCGAAGGCAGCGCCCUGGACGUCAACUGACGCUCAUGCACGAAAGCGCGGGGAGCGAACAGGAUUAGAUACCCUAGUAGUCC